rnacentral:rRNA from 1 species
GUACACUCCUGCGGGAGGCAGCAGUGGGGAAUAUUGCACAAUGGGCGCAAGCCUGAUGCAGCGACGCCGCGUGGGGGAUGAAGGCCUUCGGGUUGUAAACUCCUUUCGCUAGGGACGAAGCUUUUUUGUGACGGUACCUAGAUAAGAAGCACCGGCUAACUACGUGCCAGCAGCCGCGGUAAUACGUAGGGUGCGAGCGUUGUCCGGAAUUACUGGGCGUAAAGGGCUCGUAGGUGGUUUGUCGCGUCGUCUGUGAAAUUCUGGGGCUUAACUCCGGGCGUGCAGGCGAUACGGGCAUAACUUGAGUGCUGUAGGGGUAACUGGAAUUCCUGGUGUAGCGGUGAAAUGCGCAGAUAUCAGGAGGAACACCGAUGGCGAAGGCAGGUUACUGGGCAGUUACUGACGCUGAGGAGCGAAAGCAUGGGUAGCGAACAGGAUUAGAAACCCUGGUAGUCCCA